UACAGAGGAUGCAAGCGUUAUCCGGAAUGAUUGGGCGUAAAGCGUCUGUAGGUGGCUUUUUAAGUCCGCCGUCAAAUCCCAGGGCUCAACUCUGGACAGGCGGUGGAAACUACCAAGCUGGAGUACGGUAGGGGCAGAGGGAAUUUCCGGUGGAGCGGUGAAAUGCGUAGAGAUCGGAAAGAACACCGGUGGCGAAAGCGGCGCGCUGGGCCCCUUCUGACGCUGAGGCGCGAAAGCCAGGGGAGCAAACGGG
rnacentral:rRNA from 1 species